GACAGCAGUAGCCGCGGGAAUACGUAGGUGGCAAGCGUUGUCCGGAAUUAUUGGGCGUAAAGGGCUCGCAGGCGGUUUCUUAAGUCUGAUGUGAAAGCCCCCGGCUCAACCGGGGAGGGUCAUUGGAAACUGGGAAACUUGAGUGCAGAAGAGGAGAGUGGAAUUCCACGUGCAGCGGUGAAAUGCGUAGAGAUGUGGAGGAACACCAGUGGCGAAGGCGACUCUCUGGUCUGUAACUGACGCUGAGGAGCGAAAGCGUGGGGAGCGAACAGGAUUAGAUACCCCAGUAGUCCCUGUCUCUUAUAC
rnacentral:rRNA from 1 species